CCCUUAGAUGUUCUGGGCUGCACGCGCGCUACACUGAAGCUAUCAACACGUUUUCCCUCCCUGAGAGGGGCGGGUAACCUUUUGAAUCAGCUUCGUGGUAGGGAUCGGGGCUUGCAAUUGUCCCCCGUGAACCAGGAAUUCCUAGUAGACGCGAGUCAUAAGCUCGCAUCGAUUAAGUCCCUGCCCUUUGUACACACCGCCCGUCGCUACUACCGAUUGAACGUUUUAGUGAGGCAUUUGGACCGACGCAUCUCAGUUUAACCGCUGGUUUGUGUUGGAAAGACUUCCAAACUUGAGCGUUUAGAGGAAGUAAAAGUCGUAACA
rnacentral:rRNA from 1 species